UCCAGCCGCCAUAUCACCCUGUAGCCCAAGACUGGUUGCCCACUGAAGCUAAGCAGGGCUGAGCCUGGUCAGUACCUGGAUGGGAGACCUCCUGGGAAAACUAGGUUGCUGCUGGAA
ensembl:rRNA 5S_rRNA 5S ribosomal RNA